rnacentral:sRNA from 1 species
AGUACCAUGGCCGCGACAAACACCAAUAAAAU